AUUUGUCUGGUUAAUUCCGAUAACGAACGAGACCCUAACCUGCUAACUAGAUUCUUUAGUAUUACUUUUGCAAUCUUCUUAGAGGGACUAUGUAAAACAAAUACAUGGAAGUUUGAGGCAAUAACAGGUCAGUGAUGCCCUUAUAUGUCCUGGGCUGCACGCGUGCUACACUGAUGCAUACAACAAGUGCCUAACCAGACAUGGUAUGGCAAUCUCGAAUAUGCAUCGUGAUGGGGAUAGAUCUUUGCAAUUAUAGAUCUUGAACGAGGAAUUCCUAGUAAGUGCAAGUCAUCAUCUUGCAUUGAUUAUGUCCCUGCCCUUUGUACACACCGCCCGUCGCUCCUACCGAUACCGGGUGAUCCGGUGAACCUUUUGGACCUUAACUGGGAAGAUAAGUAAACCAUAUCACCUAGAGGAAGGAGAAGUCGUAACAAGGUUUCCGUAGGUGAACCUGCRGAAGGAUCA
rnacentral:rRNA from 1 species